UUUAACUGAAGAGUUUGAUCAUGGCUCAGAUUGAACGCUGGCGGCAGGCUUAACACAUGCAAGUCGAGCGGGGGAAGGUAGCUUGCUACUGGACCUAGCGGCGGACGGGUGAGUAAUGCUUAGGAAUCUGCCUAUUAGUGGGGGACAACAUCUCGAAAGGGAUGCUAAUACCGCAUACGUCCUACGGGAGAAAGCAGGGGAUCUUCGGACCUUGCGCUAAUAGAUGAGCCUAAGUCGGAUUAGCUAGUUGGUGGGGUAAAGGCCUACCAAGGCGACGAUCUGUAGCGGGUCUGAGAGGAUGAUCCGCCACACUGGGACUGAGACACGGCCCAGACUCCUACGGGAGGCAGCAGUGGGGAAUAUUGGACAAUGGGGGGAACCCUGAUCCAGCCAUGCCGCGUGUGUGAAGAAGGCCUUAUGGUUGUAAAGCACUUUAAGCGAGGAGGAGGCUACUUUAGUUAAUACCUAGAGAUAGUGGACGUUACUCGCAGAAUAAGCACCGGCUAACUCUGUGCCAGCAGCCGCGGUAAUACAGAGGGUGCGAGCGUUAAUCGGAUUUACUGGGCGUAAAGCGUGCGUAGGCGGCUUAUUAAGUCGGAUGUGAAAUCCCCGAGCUUAACUUGGGAAUUGCAUUCGAUACUGGUGAGCUAGAGUAUGGGAGAGGAUGGUAGAAUUCCAGGUGUAGCGGUGAAAUGCGUAGAGAUCUGGAGGAAUACCGAUGGCGAAGGCAGCCAUCUGGCCUAAUACUGACGCUGAGGUACGAAAGCAUGGGGAGCAAACAGGAUUAGAUACCCUGGUAGUCCAUGCCGUAAACGAUGUCUACUAGCCGUUGGGGCCUUUGAGGCUUUAGUGGCGCAGCUAACGCGAUAAGUAGACCGCCUGGGGAGUACGGUCGCAAGACUAAAACUCAAAUGAAUUGACGGGGGCCCGCACAAGCGGUGGAGCAUGUGGUUUAAUUCGAUGCAACGCGAAGAACCUUACCUGGCCUUGACAUACUAGAAACUUUCCAGAGAUGGAUUGGUGCCUUCGGGAAUCUAGAUACAGGUGCUGCAUGGCUGUCGUCAGCUCGUGUCGUGAGAUGUUGGGUUAAGUCCCGCAACGAGCGCAACCCUUUUCCUUACUUGCCAGCAUUUCGGAUGGGAACUUUAAGGAUACUGCCAG
rnacentral:rRNA from 1 species